UACGUAGGGUGCGAGCGUUGUCCGGAUUUAUUGGGCGUAAAGAGCUCGUAGGCGGUUUGUCGCGUCGUUCGUGAAAUCUCCACGCUUAACGUGGAGCGUGCGGUCGAUACGGGCAGACUUGAGUUCGGUAGGGGAGACUGGAAUUCCUGGUGUAGCGGUGAAAUGCGCAGAUAUCAGGAGGAACACCGGUGGCGAAGGCGGGGUCUCUGGGCCGAUACUGACGCUGAGGAGCGAAAGCGUGGGGGAGCGAUCCGG
rnacentral:rRNA from 1 species